GAUGGUUGCGCUGCAAAGGUUGUUGGAGCCCUACGGUAUAUGCGAGGUUGCAAGAACCGGACGUGUUGCAUUGGCUCGUGAAUCGGGAGUGGACUCCAAGUAUCUUCGUGGAUACUCCUUUCCUUUAAUUGGUUGAAUAGAGUUCUUCCAUGGAAGAGCAGAAAAACUUUUGAAGGUAAAAGUUGAAAGUUUCGUUACACAAUUUAUAAGCCAACGCAAAUAGAGAAACUGAGGAAAAAAAAAAGAAAGAAGUUGUUAAGAUUACUCUUCGUUCGUUUUCGUUUUCAGUUAUUGUGUUAAUCUUAUCAUCAUCUCGCAAGAUCACACUUGAGUGAGUCGUUUAUUAGUAUCAAAGUUACUGACUAAAAAGAGAGAACACAAAUGGACUUUGUAAAUGUUAAAGAGUCAAAAGUCAAACUAAGUAAGCCUUGACUGA